ACCGUAUUUGGCAGGAUAUGACAUCAUGUCACACUAAUCUAUCCAAAAAUAAAGUUGGAAGAUCACCAAGUUUUGCUGUUGAAGGGCCGUAAAUAGGCUUUAGAAAUCCAUCUAAGAAAGGGAGUCAGAGGGAUUGAACACCAAUGUUGUCUGGAGAUCCUUCUCACUGGUGGCUUAACUACAGGGAUCACAUGCCGCUCGCUUGCAAGACCUUUGAGCAGAAGUGGAAUUUCAGAAAACCCUGAGCUCAGUGAGCAGGAAUGCAGAGGGUCCUUCAGUGGUCGCCAUUUCAAACGGAAGGACUGCAGGAGCGUGUUGUGUUUCAGCUUGGAGGUUCUGCGACAUUCACAGCUCCUUUAUAGGAGGAGUUGGUAUUGACUCACUGGAUCAAAGAGAAACCAAACUCAGACAAUUUUCACAUUCUGAGGUGAUAUUUCUCAAAAAUCCGGAAAGACUGAUGACCCACACGGACUUUCAUUUUCAUAGCAAGCAACCACGUGUCGUGCACACUCCAUCUGAUGUUCAACGUGCUCUUUCAGCCUUUGGUUACAGCUGCCUCUCUGCGGUGCCAUCAUGCUAAGUCUGUUACUUUCCUGAUACGCUUUCAAAUCAGACCCAGAAAUGCAUAAUUUAUUAUCAGCCUUCACUCCAAAAUUUCCCCGCUUCACCUGGAAAAUUAAGAGAAAACAAACAUCAGACACCUGAAGUGCUUUCGGUGUGACCUCAGCCAAUUUCUGCAACCCACACACACAU